CCAAAAACUUAGCUUUACUCCACCUAAUGCCCCCACAAACUUUUAAACAUAAGAUAAAACAUUUUCUACUUUAAGUAAAGGCGAUUAAAAAAUGUCUUAAAGCUAUAAAAUUAGUACCGCAAGGGAAUAGUGAAAUAUUAAUGAAAACCUCAAGCACUUUAAAGCAGAGCUAAAUUCUCGUACCUUUUGCAUCAUGGUCUAACUAGUCUAAUCAAGCAAAACGAACUUUAAGUCUGACCCCCCGAAACUAAGCGAGCUACUUAAGAACAGCCAAAUGGGCCAACCCGUCUCUGUUGCAAAAGAGUGGGAAGAUUUUUAAGUAGGGGUGAUAAACCUACCGAGCUUAGAGAUAGCUGGUUAUUCAGGAAAAGGAUUUAAGUCCUACCUUAGGUUUCUCGUAUAUACAAAUACCCCUCAAACCUUAAGAGCUAUUCAAAUAAGGUACAGCCUAUUUGAAACAGGAUACAACCU
rnacentral:rRNA from 1 species